rnacentral:rRNA from 1 species
UGGGGAAUAUUGCACAAUGGGGGAAACCCUGAUGCAGCGACGCCGCGUGAACGAAGAAGGUAUUCGUAUCGUAAAGUUCUGUCCUAUGGGAAGAUAAUGACAGUACCAUAGAAGAAAGCUCCGGCUAAAUACGUGCCAGCAGCCGCGGUAAUACGUAUGGAGCGAGCGUUGUCCGGAAUUAUUGGGCGUAAAGGGUACGCAGGCGGUUUAAUAAGUCGAAUGUUAAAGAUCGGGGCUCAACACCGUAAAGCAUUGGAAACUGAUAAACUUGAGAAGUGGAGAGGAAAGUGGAAUUCAUAGUGUAGGGGUGAAAUACGUAGAUAUUAGGAGGAAUACCAGUAGCGAAGGCGACUGUCUGGACACAAACUGACGCUGAGGUACGAAAGCGUGGGGAGCAAACAGG